ACUCCUACGGGAGGCAGCAGUAGGGAAUCUUCGGCAAUGGACGAAAGUCUGACCGAGCAACGCCGCGUGAGUGAAGAAGGUUUUCGGAUCGUAAAACUCUGUUGGUAGAGAAGAACGUUGGUGAGAGUGGAAAGCUCAUCAAGUGACGGUAACUACCCAGAAAGGGACGGCUAACUACGUGCCAGCAGCCGCGGUAAUACGUAGGUCCCGAGCGUUGUCCGGAUUUAUUGGGCGUAAAGCGAGCGCAGGUGGUUUAUUAAGUCUGGUGUAAAAGGCAGUGGCUCAACCAUUGUAUGCAUUGGAAACUGGUAGACUUGAGUGCAGGAGAGGAGAGUGGAAUUCCAUGUGUAGCGGUGAAAUGCGUAGAUAUAUGGAGGAACACCGGUGGCGAAAGCGGCUCUCUGGCCUGUAACUGACACUGAGGCUCGAAAGCGUGGGGAGCAAACAGGAUUAGAUACCCUGGUAGUCCACGCCGUAAACGAUGAGUGCUAGAUGUAGGGAGCUAUAAGUUCUCUGUAUC
rnacentral:rRNA from 1 species